CCUACGGGAGACAGCAGUGGGGAAUAUUGCACAAUGGGCGAAAGCCUGAUGCAGCAACGCCGCGUGAGCGAUGAAGGCCUUCGGGUCGUAAAGCUCUGUCCUCAAGGAAGAUAAUGACGGUACUUGAGGAGGAAGCCCCGUCUAACUACGUGCCAGCAGCCGCGGUAAUACGUAGGGGGCUAGCGUUAUCCGGAAUUACGGGGCGUAAGGGGUGCGUAGGUGGUUUCUUAAGUCGGAGGUAAAAGGUUACGGCUCAACCGUAGUAAGCCUUUGAAACUGGGGAACUUGAGUGCAGGAGAGGAGAGUGGAAUUCCUAGUGUAGCGGUGAAAUGCAUAGAUAUUAGGAGGAACACCAGUUGCGAAGGCGGCUCUCUGGACUGUAACUGACACUGAGGCACGAAAGCGUGGGGAGCAAACAGGAUUAGAUACCCGGGUAGUC
rnacentral:rRNA from 1 species